UAAUACGAUGUGUGAUAGAGUUAAGUAGAAUUAAUGGGAUUAAAGCGUGUGUAGGUGGUGCGUUAAGUCUUUUGUGUAUACUCUGGGCGCAACCACGGAGUUGCACUC
rnacentral:rRNA from 1 species